AAAACUAUUAAAAUCCUCUUCACCUUCUUUCAUUUCUUCAACAAAAACCCAACCCAAAUUUCACCUUCCUCCGUCACCUAUCCCUGCCGUCGCCGGAACACCGCCAUCAACCACUCCCCACCGCUCUUCAUCUUCGGCAUCCGCAUAGCCCACGCUCUCCAUUUUUCGCUAUCCUCGUAGCGCCCCAGAUCUGCAGCCGGUCAUCUUCUCCGACCUUCUUCCCUGGUCUGCGGCAGGUCUUAUUCCGUUUUCGAACGGUCACCCAGUCCGCUCAUUUCCUCAGCAACCGCGCUCCGCCACCUCCGGUCAUCACUAUCCUGGUACAAUGGGCACCAAAAGACAGCGACCAACUAAUAAGGUCAGUACUUUCCGAGCUCCUGCCCCUGCUGCUGUUAAUGUUCCCGCGCCUCCUCCUGAUUUGGUUGACAUAGUAGCACGUUUGGACCGUAUCGAGGCGCGCCAGCAGCGUAUUGAGGCAAGCCAGCAACGUAUUGAAGCAAGCCAAGAGCGUAUUGAGACUGCCGUCCACCAGCGCUUUGAUGAGCUCUUCCGCAUUAUGGAUGGUCAAAUCCCCCAACCUCCAACUCAGUAAUUCGUCGUUUUUUUAGUUUGUGUGGAUGUCAGGGAAGUGUCUUUCAUUUUAUUUUAGAUGAUGGUUCUAGUUUUUGCUACUUGUUAACAAUGAGGACAAUGUUUGGUUGAAAUGUAGGUGGCGUACCAAUUAAAUCAAAAUUUGCCAAUUCAGUUUA